CCAAGAAGUGGAGAUCCUGGGAGCAAAAGAUGUCUCCAGAGGGAAGAUGCAGGUGCUGAGUGAAGCCAGCCUGAGUCACGAACUCAGCAGAACAAUGCUGGAAGUUUCAUCAAUGACUCCAUUUUUACAAGUGCCAUAGUCACUUACAGGCACUGUGACAAACAAGUCAUGAAGAGGAUGAAUACAGCCUGAGCUGACAGGAUACUUUGAUUGCUACCUUCCUGGGGGACUUUCUAGGCCAGGGGAGCACUGGACUGAAGCAUCAUUCUGCACCAUAUUCCCUUGAUAGUGGGUCUCUCACUGAACCUCGGGCUAAGCUGGCAGCCGGCAGACCCCAUCAGUUUUCCUGUUUCAGGCCAGCAAGCACAGGGGUCACAGGUGUUUGUCAGAUGUAAACUCUCAGCUACUGCUCCAACGCUAUGCCUGCCUGCCUGCCUGCCUGCCUGCCUGCAGCCAUGCUCCUCGCCAUGAUGGUCACUGAUUUAUCCUCUGAAACUGUAAGCAAGCUCGGAAAUAAAAUCUUCUACAAGUUG